GAUGAACGCUGGCGGCGUGCCUAAUACAUGCAAGUCGAGCGAACAGACGAGGAGCUUGCUCCUCUGACGUUAGCGGCGGACGGGUGAGUAACACGUGGAUAACCUACCUAUAAGACUGGGAUAACUUCGGGAAACCGGAGCUAAUACCGGAUAAUAUAUUGAACCGCAUGGUUCAAUAGUGAAAGACGGUUUUGCUGUCACUUAUAGAUGGAUCCGCGCCGCAUUAGCUAGUUGGUAAGGUAACGGCUUACCAAGGCAACGAUGCGUAGCCGACCUGAGAGGGUGAUCGGCCACACUGGAACUGAGACACGGUCCAGACUCCUACGGGAGGCAGCAGUAGGGAAUCUUCCGCAAUGGGCGAAAGCCUGACGGAGCAACGCCGCGUGAGUGAUGAAGGUCUUCGGAUCGUAAAGCUCUGUUAUUAGGGAAGAACAAAUGUGUAAGUAACUAUGCACGUCCUGACGGUACCUAAUCAGAAAGCCACGGCUAACUACGUG
rnacentral:rRNA from 1 species